CACGGAGCACGGAGCACACGGAGUACGAAGCAGUAGAAAAACGAAAAUCCUUCAUAAUAAAAUACACUGUUUACUAUUACAAAUUUUUGUUCUUAUUAAUAAAGUUUUUUCGCGUUUUACACGUCGGGGAAGUAAGAAAAUUGGGCUCUUAAAAAACACAUAUGCCAAACUGCCAAAAGCCAUAGUUGUAUUUAAAAUAGGAUUGUGAAACUCGUUAUCUUACAUCUGUCAAGCUUAUGAGUUAUGUAAUUAUGUUUAUAAUUUACUCUCUAUAUUAUAUUACAUUAUAUUAUAUUAUUAUAAUGCCAACGGCAACGCACAAAGAAACACUUCAGUGAAAACACUUAGUCUUAGACUGACAGCCGAUAUAUUUCGUUACCUCUGCCAAAAAGUAGCCAAGUAUACUCAUGUUUCAAUGUAGCGGAUCGACUGAACAUUAAAUCAUGUGAUGAGAAAAGUGAAUUUUCGGUUUACCUUCGGCUCAGUGGACAGUGACCAGUGGC
rnacentral:lncRNA from 1 species